GGGGUCGCUGCAGAAAACGGAAUCAGUCCCUACAAGUUACAAUACGACAUCCUCGAUGUCUAAAAUAGAUGUCCCUGGAAAUGAAUGGACCAGGGAACCCCUGAACACAUCGGACACAACAGACGGAGGAAAUCACAUCUUCACAACAUACACGGCAUGGAAAGUCGACAUUAACGCUGACAAAUAAUUCACUAUUACUUGCAAGCAAAUUUUAUAAAUAUUUUAGUGUGUGGAGCCAUCAAUUCGACGAUGAAGAACAUCAUGUUCCCCAAUGAUGCAAAUACCAUACGUUCUUUUAAAGCUGAUUUCUUUAAGAUAGCGGAUUUUCCCAAUUGUGUAGGGGCUAUUGACGGAACCCUUAUACCAAUCAAAGGGAUGAGUGGGUUGGGAGAACCUGCAUUUAUCUGCAGGAAGAAUUUCUGCGCCUUGAACAUCCAGGCUGUGGCUGACCCAAAUAUGCGAGAUUUCUCCACAUCAACACGUGUUUUCCUUGAGCCAGCCACGAUGCGUAUGUGUUCCGGUCUUCUGGCGUCCCAGCAAUCAUGGAAACAUUGCCAGAAGGGGAUGGUUACUUGGGGAUUCAGGUUACCCCCUGAAAGAAUGGUUACUUACACCGUUUUUGUCCCCAAGUAGCCCCCAAGAAGAAAAGUACAAUGAAGCUUUAUCAAAGACGAGAAUAGUUGUUGAGAGGGCAUUCGGAGUUCUAAAAUCCAGAUUUCGGUGUUUGCAUUCAAGUGGUGGGGGACUUCGGUUUUCACCGCAAAGAUGCUCCAAAGUCAUUGAAACAUGUUUCAGACAGCACAACACAGCGAUCAUUGCGAAAGCUCCCCUCCGACAAGGGCUUGUUCAAAACAUUAACUGUAAUGAUGUCGUUAUUGCAAUUGUACAGGGAACCGCGCAGCAACUGAGGAUACGCGUCGCUGGCUUGUUAUAGAAAUGAUUACAUAAAUUGUGCUCGACAAAUAGUUUUCCUAAAACAUUUUCUUCCUUUCUUUUUCAAAACACGUUUUAUAUACAGGCUUUCAAUCACAACAAGUUUUUAUAAUAAAAGCAGAACUGAAAGUUAAGUCAUUAUAAUCGUUUGACACCAUAUCAGUACACAUAUAUUUUCAACUUGCAGCAACAACGGAAGACCUACUCAUGGCUUUGCCACGAGCUCUGCUCUAUUUCGAUAUUACAUUUCUUUCAAAACAUCCGAUCCAAAUUAUAACAUACAUGUAUGAAGCUGUAGACAAGUGUCAAAAAAUUCAUCUAACCCCUCCCCAUGCAUCUCUGCCAAUGGAUGAGUUCAUUCAAACAAUUAGAUCAAGAUCUCAGCCGUUGCCUGAAUGGUAAAGCAGGACUUCGCGCCAUAAUGCCUCAUUCAUAGCGCGCGCCGAUUAGUCGACGAAUCUGUUGGGAUCAUGCGAACACCCCAGAGCAUACCGUGUGUUUACACCCCCUCCCACUUUUUUGCGGAAGGCACUUUUCUUAACUUUUUAUAAUAAAUGGAAAUAUCAUGGAUUUGCCCCUCCAGUUUUGUAGGAGCAUGUAAUAAAAAUGUAGUAAUAAAUGAAACUGCAAAUAAGG
rnacentral:sRNA from 1 species